rnacentral:lncRNA from 1 species
AUAGUUCCACCUAAAGCUUGGACAUUUGGUAUUCUGUACUAUGAGGUUCCAUGUCGGCAGAAACAGCAGGGGAGUUAUGCUUCAAGGAAAAUACCGUCCAUAAGCCAAUUAAACAUUUCUUUGGCAUCCCAGCAUCUAGCACACAGAAACCAUGAAGACAGAGGAAUUUGCGUCCACUCUCUAGAGAGAAGGAUCCCAAGCCACAGAGUUAAAUAUCAGUUAUUCAGCACUCCUAGGCCCCUGCCAGAGUCACUACCACAGGAGCGAGGCAGUAUGGUCCGUGCGUCUGAAUUUUCAACAAACCUGGAAGAACAGUAAUCAAAUAGACAUUCAUUUUACUCCCCAUUGUCUCAUUGCUUUGCUUGCUUUGGAUGCCUCAGGUUUAACAUCAUAAUCAUUACCUCUUUUCACCUCAUUAGGCCAACCAGGCUCAAAUGAUGAACUCUGGUUCAAUUUCAUUGUUUCAAAUUUAAUUAGUAAUUAUAACACUGUCAGCAGCAUCUGAUAUUUCAGUUUCCUAAUGCUCUUCCCUAACCUCUCCUUUUAUCUAUAUUUAAAACCAAAGUCACUGAAUGCAUAAGGUAUCUGAAUUAUUUGCAUUUGGGUUUACGCAUUCUUCUAUCGUAGAUUUCCACAUCUUUAAGCUCUGCGUGGCCAUCUGGAUCAGAUUGCUGCUAAAUCAAAUCAGAUAAACUUUACCUUUCUCCUAUCUUGAUUUAUAUCAACCAUACAUCUCCAAAGCUACAGCCUUGUUAAAUCCAAUUUAUUUUCAAAGAGCUUAUGAAAUUAAUUCAGUUUGGGGAACCUGAUAUACAUUCUCUGAGCAUGUAGUUUUUGAACAGAUUCAUGAAGGGAGAAGUGGAUGGAAUUACUGAGAUAGGAAUAUUGGGUGAUCUGUUUUCAUUGAUUCUUGAGUAAGCCUUGCAAGGCAGACUCCAUCCAAUUACUUAAGCAUUUUCUAAUCUAGUUCCUGCAACCCAUCAGUAUGUUAAUAUGCAGAUUUUUGAGUCUUAUAAUGGUCCUGAACACAGCAGUGAAGCUGCAGUCUAACUCAUGAUGAUUCAAUCUAGCAUUUUCCUAAGUUAGGACCAAGUUUUAGCUAAUAACUCUGAAUUAGGGGAAUGAUUGGAAUAAGGGAAAUCUUCAGAAUUAAAUUUUGGUGUCUGUCUGAAAUUGACUUUGCUUUUGGGACUGGGGAGGGUGAGCUGAAACUCUAGCAACCAUUGAUCUCACUUAGAGAUGAAGGCUGAGUUGCAGACCACAAAGGUGCUUUAAUUGACAUAAAGACUCCUGGGAAAAAUUUAUUCAAUAAACGAUGAAAUUCAUCCCAGUCCCCAGGGUUAUCUUGGAUUCAAAGGAAUAUUCAGGAAUCGUACAGCUGUCUAUGACUCCAAUGACAAAUCCAUACUUUAGUGACUCUGAGGAU